rnacentral:tRNA from 2 species
AGCCCGGUAGUGUAGCGGCAAGCAUAGGGGCCCCUGGAGCCUUUGACCUCGGUUCGAGUCCGGGCCGGGCUAC